rnacentral:tRNA from 1 species
GCUUGGUCAGUUGAACACCUGACUUCAGCUCAGGUCAUGAUCUCAUGGUUCGUGGGUUCAAGCCCCACAUCAGGUU